AUUAGGCAAGAAAAAAAGUAAGAGGGGAGGGGAGGGGUGCAGAUAGCGCUGUGACGACAGCGUUAGCUCAACACAGCGAUGGGUUGCGGCGCAUCCCAGCCUAUACCUCGUACCAUCCACAACUUCUAUGAGCUU
rnacentral:ribozyme from 1 species